CUUUGCUAAGUUCCUUCGCUUUUAAGUCCACUCUCGGUAGACUUCAAGCUGUUUCCAGCUUAUGCCGCGGAGAGACUGGUGGUGGAGAGCCCAGCUCCACACACCUAUGUGGGGAGGGUGUCAGGCUUCCCUCCUCAUCCCCCUCCCAAAGCACGCAGUGGCAGGGGACCGAGACAGGAUCCCAGACUCACACUCCCUGGCUCUGUCCACCCCACCCAAGUCCCCACCAGAGCGUGCUUGUCCAGAGUCUAUCAGGGGACAUGUUGAAACUGGAAGCCAAAAUGUGGCUCAGCUCUCUCCAAGGCUGGCCGAAGAAAGUCACAGGUCACCAGGUGCGGCCACACAGACAGCCCCUGCAAAGUCGGGAUGCCAGGAUGCAGCUGUGGAUGCAGAAAAGUGGGUCCUGACUCCAGCCACCGAACCAGCAGCAGGGAGUGAGGGAGACAUCAGGCUCCAAUCCCAUGCGUGUCCUCAGUGUGCUCCCUGCACCUGGCUCCCCUGGCAGUCCCAGGAGACCCGAUGCCCUGCCCA
rnacentral:lncRNA from 1 species